rnacentral:lncRNA from 1 species
UCACUUACCCAACACACAAAGAGUUUAAAAAUCGUAUCACCGCGAUUUUGGAAGAACAAUUUUGACAGAAUAAGGAAAAAGAAUUUGGAUGGAAAGAAAUCACAGAGAAAAGAAUCAGAAACUGGAAAAGGGAGAAAUUUUUGGGAAAAUAGAAUAAAAUGAAAUAAAAUAAAAAGAAUAAGUCAAAUCCCACUACAUCCACAUCCCCUAACCACCCAACUAACUUAGAAUCCCACUACCACCGAACCACUAUCAACCGCC